rnacentral:tRNA from 1 species
AAGGGAGACCUAAUUCGGGUAUAAGACGAAAAAAGAGUAGUCGAAACCAAGAAUCAAUCCCAAAAGGUCGGAACGAGGUAUGUGGCUUUCAAACUAGGUUCUGGGUUCACACAAGACCUGAAUCAAGAACAAGGGCUAUUAGCUCAGGUGGUUAGAGCGCACCCCUGAUAAGGGUGAGGUCCCUGGUUCGAGUCCAGGAUGGCCCACCUGCACAGGUGGCAAAAACAAAGAAGCGAGGAAUCAGCACCUUAUCUUAUCUAUAUAUAAGAGAGAAUGCUGGCUCUGAGUAAAGAGUCCAGAGGAACCUUGAAAACUGCAUAGAGCUAGGUGAAAAAGCCAAAAAAGAAGACCGCAA